GACGAACGCUGGCGGCGUGCCUAAUACAUGCAAGUCGAACGAGAGCGAUCGGUGCUUGCACUGGUCAAUCUAGUGGCGAACGGGUGAGUAACACGUGGGUAACCUGCCCAUCAGAGGGGGAUAACAUUCGGAAACGAAUGCUAAAACCGCAUAGGUCUUCGAACCGCAUGGUUUGAAGAGGAAAAGAGGCGCAAGCUUCUACUGAUGGAUGGACCCGCGGUGCAUUAGCUAGUUGGUGAGGUAACGGCUCACCAAGGCCGUGAUGCAUAGCCGACCUGAGAGGGUGAUCGGCCACAUUGGGACUGAGACACGGCCCAAACUCCUACGGGAGGCAGCAGUAGGGAAUCUUCCGCAAUGGACGCAAGUCUGACGGAGCAACGCCCGCGUGAGUGAAGAAGGGUUUUCGGGAUCGUAAAAACUCCUGUUGUUAAGAGAAAG
rnacentral:rRNA from 1 species